rnacentral:rRNA from 1 species
AUUGAACGCUGGCGGCAGGCCUAACACAUGCAAGUCGAGCGGCAGCGGGAAAGUAGCUUGCUACUUUUGCCGGCGAGCGGCGGACGGGUGAGUAAUGCCUGGGAAAUUGCCCAGUCGAGGGGGAUAACAGUUGGAAACGACUGCUAAUACCGCAUACGCCCUACGGGGGAAAGCAGGGGACCUUCGGGCCUUGCGCGAUUGGAUAUGCCCAGGUGGGAUUAGCUAGUUGGUGAGGUAAUGGCUCACCAAGGCCACGAUCCCUAGCUGGUCUGGCAGGAUGAUCAGACACACGGGCACUGCGACACGGUCCAGACUCCUACGGGAGGCAGCAGUGUGGAAUAUUGCACGAUGGGGGAAACCCUGAUGCAGCCAUGCCGCGUGUGUGAAGAAGGCCUUCGGGUUGUAAAGCACUUUCAGCGAGGAGGAAAGGUUGAGGCCUAAUACGUAUCAACUGUGACGUUACUCGCAGAAGAAGCACCGGCUAACUCCGUGCCAGCAGCCGCGGUAA